AUUGAACGCUGGCGGCAGGCCUAACACAUGCACGUAGAGCGGCUGCUGGGAGAUAGCCCCUGGAUUCCGCGGCCGACGGGUGUGUCUUGCCUAGGAAUCUGUCUGGCUGUGUGGGCUCACGUCUGCAAACGGGUGCUACUACCGCCUACGUCCUGAGGGAGUAAGUGGGGGAUCUUGGGCUCUCACGCUGUCAGAUGAGCCUAGGUCGGUUUAACUAGUUGGUGGGGUAAAGGCCUCCUAAGGCGACGAUCCGUAACUGGUCUGAUCGGAUGACCAGUCAAACUGGAACUGAGACACGGUCCAGACUCCUACGGGAGGCAGCAGUGGGGAAUAUUGGACAAUGGGCGAAAGCCUGAUCCAGCCAUGCCGCGUGUGUGAAGAAGGUCUUCGGAUUGUAAAGCACUUUAAGUUGGGAGGAAGGGCAGUAAGUUAAUACCUUGCUGUUUUGACGUUACCAACAGAAUAAGCACCGGCUAACUUCGUG
rnacentral:rRNA from 1 species